rnacentral:rRNA from 1 species
CAGUAGCCGCGGGAAUACGAACCGUGCAAACGUUACUCGGAAUCACUGGGCUUAAAGCGCACGUAGGCGGCGACAUAAGUUAGAGGUGAAAUCCCAUCGGCUCAACCGUGGAACUGCCUCUAAUACUGUGUUGCUUGAGGGAGAACGGGGCAUUCGGAACUUCCGGUGGAGCGGUGAAAUGUGUUGAUAUCGGAAGGAACGCCGGUGGCGAAAGCGGAAUGCUGGGUCUCUUCUGACGCUGAGGUGCGAAAGCUAGGGUAGCGAACGGGAUUAGAUACCCCCGUAGUCCCUGUCUCUUAUA